AUGUUCUCUGUAGCUCUGCUGCUGUUGCUGGCAGCUCCAUCCUGUGUGAAGUGUGAACAGCUGACAACCAGCCUCUUCGACUGUGCAGCCAGGUCAGACUCUGAGCAUCAGCUGUCAGGUCUCUUAUUCUGUCACCAGUCACAGAGAAGCUCUCAUUGGAUCACCUUCACCACCAACAUGUUCUCUGUAGCUUUGCUGCUGCUGCUGGCUGCUGGAUCCUGUGUGAAGUGUCAACAGCUGACACAACCAGCCUCUUUGACUGUACAGCCAGGUCAGACUCUGAGCAUCAGCUGUCAGGUCUCUUAUUCUGUCACCAGCUAUAGCACACACUGGAUCCGACAACCUGCAGGAAAAGCUCUGGAAUGGAUGGGUGUUAUUUGGGCUAGUGGAAGAAAUGCUUAUGCCAGCAAUGUCCAAGGACGUAUUGAAAUCACCAGAGACACCAAUAAGAAGAUUGUGUAUCUGAGUCUGUCUGCUAUGAAACCAGAGGAGUCUGCUGUGUAUUACUGUGCCAGAUAUGCACAGUGGUUAAUGUGA